GUCUGCAGGAGGUGGAGGAUGUCCGUCCACUGCUCGAUGGCGUUCGAUGAGGGGUCAAGAUCUGUCGCGGUCGCAACCUCCUCUUGCUCGAUCGCCAUCA
rnacentral:rRNA from 17 species